UGGGGAAUUUUGGACAAUGGGCGAAAGCCUGAUCCAGCAAUGCCGCGUGUGUGAAGAAGGCCUUCGGGUUGUAAAGCACUUUUGUCCGGAAAGAAAUCCUUGGCUCUAAUACAGUCGGGGGAUGACGGUACCGGAAGAAUAAGCACCGGCUAACUACGUGCCAGCAGCCGCGGUAAUACGUAGGGUGCAAGCGUUAAUCGGAAUUACUGGGCGUAAAGCGUGCGCAGGCGGUUUGCUAAGACCGAUGUGAAAUCCCCGGGCUCAACCUGGGAACUGCAUUGGUGACUGGCAGGCUAGAGUAUGGCAGAGGGGGGUAGAAUUCCACGUGUAGCAGUGAAAUGCGUAGAGAUGUGGAGGAAUACCGAUGGCGAAGGCAGCCCCCUGGGCCAAUACUGACGCUCAUGCACGAAAGCGUGGGGAGCAAACAGGAUUNGAUACCCUGGUAGUCCACGCCCUAAACGAUGUCAACUAGUUGUU
rnacentral:rRNA from 1 species